GGAGUCAGUCAGAGCAUUUCCAUAGAGAGCCACUUUGCAUCAGCAGCACCAUGCUCCAGUGCUCUGGGAGAGUUUAUAGUCCUGAGAGUUGAACACUGGAUGACUGACAGCUGUCCUUCAUGACAACAGAAGCCACAGAAAUCCUCCUCUUCAUCAAAAACAUGACUUUGACCUCCGUCCUCAUCUGGACUCUCCUCUGCUGCUGCUUCACAGAGUCCAGAGGUCAGGUCACAGUGACUCAGCCUGGAGCAGUGAGCUCUGCUCUGGGAGGCUCCGUCUCCAUCAGCUGUAGGACCAGUCAGAGGGUUUAUGGUGGGAGCUACUUGCACUGGUACCAACAGAGAGAUGGAGAAACUCCUAAACUGCUCAUUUAUGCAACUAGCACUCGAGCAUCAGGGAUUCCAGGUCGUUUUUCAGGCAGUGGAUCAAACUCUGACUUCACUCUGACCAUCAGUGGAGUUCAGGCUGAAGAUGCAGCAGUUUAUUACUGUCAGAGUUAUCAUGAGGUCAACAGUCAGAGUGUGUUCACACAGUGAAAAAGCGUCGUACAAAAACCUCCCUCAGUCAGACUGAACAGAAACUGAAGUGACUGCUGCAGCUGGAAGCUACU